rnacentral:rRNA from 1 species
AACGCUAGCUACAGGCUUAACACAUGCAAGUCGAGGGGCAGCAUGAGUUUGCUUGCAAACCUUGAUGGCGACCGGCGCACGGGUGCGUAACGCGUAUCCAACCUUCCAGCUACUAGGGAAUAGCCCGUUUGAAAAGACGGAUUAAUGCCCUAUGUGUUCAUUUAGAUGGCAUCAGAUGUUGAACAAAGAUUCAUCGGUAGCUGAUGGGGAUGCGUAUGAUUAGCUAGUCGGCGGGGUAACGGCCCACCGAGGCUACGAUCAUUAGGGGUUCUGAGAGGAAGGUCCCCCACACUGGUACUGAGACACGGACCAGACUCCUACGGGAGGCAGCAGUGAGGAAUAUUGGUCAAUGGGCGUAAGCCUGAACCAGCCAAGUAGCGUGCAGGAGGACGGCCCUAUGGGUUGUAAACUGCUUUUAUGCGGGGAUAAAGUUAGGGACGUGUCCCUUUUGCAGGUACCGCAUGAAUAAGGACCGGCUAAUUCCGUGCC